GGACCCGCACAAGCGGUGGAGCAUGUGGUUUAAUUCGACGCAACGCGAAGAACCUUACCAGGGCUUGACAUCCCCCGCCAUCCUGUGAAAGCAGGAGUUUGAGCCUUCGGGUUCAACGGGGAGACAGGUGGUGCAUGGUUGUCGUCAGCUCGUGUCGUGAGAUGUUGGGUUAAGUCCCGCAACGAGCGCAACCCCUACUUUCAGUUGCCAGCACGUAAAGGUGGGAACUCUGAAGGAACUGCCGGUGACAAGCCGGAGGAAGGUGGGGAUGACGUCAAAUCAUCAUGCCCUUUAUGCCCUGGGCUACACACGUGCUACAAUGGUCGGUACAGAGGGUUGCCAAACCGUGAGGUGGAGCUAAUCCCAAAAAGCCGGUCUCAGUUCGGAUUGUAGGCUGCAACCCGCCUACAUGAAGUCGGAAUCGCUAGUAAUCGCGAGUCAGCAUAUCG
rnacentral:rRNA from 1 species